rnacentral:rRNA from 1 species
AGCGGCGGAUGGGUGAGUAACACGUGGGGAACCUGCCCCUAAGUCUGGGAUACCAUUUGGAAACAGGUGCUAAUACCGGAUAAUAAAGCAGAUCGCAUGAUCAGCUUUUGAAAGGCGGCGUAAGCUGUCGCUAAGGGAUGGCCCCGCGGUGCAUUAGCUAGUUGGUAAGGUAACGGCUUACCAAGGCGACGAUGCAUAGCCGAGUUGAGAGACUGAUCGGCCACAUUGGGACUGAGACACGGCCCAAACUCCUACGGGAGGCAGCAGUAGGGAAUCUCCCACAAUGGACGCAAGUCUGAUGGAGCAACGCCGCGUGAGUGAAGAAGGUUUUCGAAUCGUAAAGCUCUGUUGUUGGUGAAGAAGGAUAGAGGUAGUAACUGGCCUUUAUUUGACGGUAAUCAACCAGAAAGUCACGGCUAACUACGUGCCAGCAGCCGCGGUAAUACGUAGGUGGCAAGCGUUGUCCGGAUUUAUUGGGCGUAAAGCGAGCGCAGGCGGAAAAAUGAGUCUAAUGUGAAAGCCCUCGGCUUAACCGAGGAACUGCAUCGGAAACUGUUUUUCUUGAGUGCAGAAGAGGAGAGUGGAACUCCAUGUGUAGCGGUGGAAUGCGUAGAUAUAUGGAAGAACACCAGUGGCGAAGGCGGCUCUCUGGUCUGCAACUGACGCUGAGGCUCGAAAGUAUGGGUAGCGAACAGGAUUAGAUACCCUGGUAGUCCAUGCCGUAAACGAUGAGUGCUAAGUGU